rnacentral:tRNA from 1 species
UGGCUCAGUAGGUAGAGCAUGAGACUCUUAAUCUCAGGGUUGUGAGUUCAAGCCCCAC